UGCGUUUCUGAGAUUGGACCUUUAAAGAAC
rnacentral:piRNA from 1 species